CCAUGCCGCGUGUGUGAAGAAGGCCCGAGGGUUGUAAAGCACUUUCAAUUGUGAGGAAGGGUGUAGGAUUAAUACUUCUGCAUUUUUGACGUUAACUUUAGAAGAAGCACCGGCUAACUCUGUGCCAGCCACUGCGGUGACUGAGCGGGCUGGCAAGGCGCAUA
rnacentral:rRNA from 1 species